rnacentral:rRNA from 1 species
UACGGGGGGGAGCAAGCGUUGUUCGGAUUUACUGGGCGUAAAGGGCGCGUAGGCGGUCGUGACAAGUCACUUGUGAAAUCUCCGGGCUUAACUCGGAACGGUCAAGUGAUACUGUCGGACUAGAGUACAGAAGGGGCAACUGGAAUUCUCGGUGUAGCGGUGAAAUGCGUAGAUAUCUGGAGGAACACCAAUGGCGAAGGCAGCUCGCUGGGACGGUACUGACGCUGAGGCGCGAAAGCAUGGGGAGCGAACAGG